GAAAUGCGAUAAGUAGUGUGAAUUGCAGAAUUCAGUGAAUCAUCGAAUCUUUGAACGCACAUUGCGCCCUUUGGUAUUCCAAAGGGCAUGCCUGUUCGAGCGUCAUUUGUACCCUCAAGCUUUGCUUGGUGUUGGGCGUCUUGUCUCUAGCUUUGCUGGAGACUUGCCUUAAAGUAAUUGGCAGCCGGCCUACUGGUUUCGGAGCGCAGCACAAGUCACACUCUCUAUCAGCAAAGGUCUAGCAUCCAUUAAGCCUUUUUUCAACUUUUGACCUCGGAUCAGGUAGGGAUACCCGCUGAACUUAAGC
rnacentral:misc_RNA from 1 species